AUUGAACGCUGGCGGCAUGCUUUACACAUGCAAGUCGAACGGUAACAGGCCGCAAGGUGCUGACGAGUGGCGAACGGGUGAGUAAUGCAUCGGAACGUGCCCAGUCGUGGGGGCUAACUGCUCGAAAGAGCAGCUAAUACCGCAUACGAUCUAUGGAUGAAAGCGGGGGACCGUAAGGCCUCGCGCGCUUGGAGCGGCCGAUGGCAGAUUAGGUAGUUGGUGGGGUAAAGGCUCACCAAGCCAACGAUCUGUAGCUGGUCUGAGAGGACGACCAGACACACUGGGAGUGAGACACGGCCCAGAAGCCGACGGGAGGCAGCAGUGGGGAAUUUUGGACAAUGGGGGCAACCCUGAUGCAGCAAUGCCGAGUGAAGGAAGAAGGCCUUCGGGUUGUAAGCUGCUUUUGUACGGAACGAAACGGUCUGGGUUAAUACCCUGGGCUAAUGACGGAACCGUAAGAAUAAGCGCCGGCUAACUACGUGCUAGCAGCCGCAGUAACAC
rnacentral:rRNA from 1 species